UGUUAUGAAUAAAUGAGGGGUUGAAAAUGAAAAAUGUGUUAUUAAAACACAUAACAAAAAAAUGCCCAGGGAAUGGAAGUGGGUGUGUGUGCGAUCGUGAGGAGAGACCAGGGGAAACCUUCCCCUCAAAACCCUAACACCUCUCAAAUCAUCAAAUUAAGAAGAAAAUUGAAGGUCAAUCGAAUGCAUGUGAUCAAUUCCUUAGUCAUCUAAGGGUUUCCCAUCAUGGGGAGCGUGAUCUUGAUGAAAAGAUAGUAUAGGAAUCAUGUCAAGACGGACUCAAGCAUAAAAGGAUAACGGGUCAAGAAAAGGGCGAGGAAUCGGAUACGAGCACGGACGCAUAAGGUAAGUGAUUUCCGUAAUCACUUCUUAAUUCAAGUAAGUAAUUAAGUGUUGUGAUUAAUUAAACAUGAUGUUUGAGGUCAAAUAUGUGUUAAAGUCUUUCGUCGUAAACGAUGGAUUAAAGUUGACCAAAAUGCCCUUGAUGGGUAUUUUGGGGUAAACGAUCUUAAAAAUAGUUUAGAAACAAGUUAUUCGAUUAGUGUAAUGUUUUGGACAAGUAUGGAUGUGGGGAUGAUGGUUUGGUUAGUCAUAGACCAAUUAAUACGCGAAUACCCUUAACGGGUCAAAAUAAGUAUAUGAACGAUAAUGUGUUAAGAGGAUGUAAGACAUCCAAGAAUUUGGUAAUUUAUGAGAGACGUCACUGAUAUUAUUAGGUUUAUAAGAGGUUAUGGUAAAACAAACAGAUUAUGUUGAUUAAUGCACGAACGGGUCAAAUAAUUAGAAGAUAAUAAUAAGCCGAAUGCAGGUAAGUUAAGAAUUUCCUUAAUCCAUAUGUGGGAUUUUAAGUUCAUAUGAUAGAAUGUGAAUUUACAAGCAUGUAGGAAGAAAAGUGAGGUUAAACGGACAAUCAGGUUAAAAGUUAUGCGAGUUUUAGUGGGCGUGUUAUAUCUGCACCCGGAGCAUGGAACGUCGGGUUUGGGAGUAUGGAACGCCGGGCAGAAACCUAAACGCCCAUACUUCACUGUCAAACGUUGGUUCCAUGUUAAAGUGAACGUCGGGGUGUUCCAAACAAGCCUAGAUCACUAUAAAGCUGAGUCUAAGACCCAUGUAAAUAAUGUAUGAUUAUGUAAGAGGUACGCGUGAUCUAGUACGUGUUCGUUAAGGUAUGUACGAGUGUAUGCAUGUAUGUAAAGAUGUAGGAAAGGUAUGUACGUAUGUAGAUGUGUAUGUACGUAUGUAUAAAGGUAUGUACAAGUGUAUGCAUGUAUGUAAAGAUGUAGGAAAGGUAUGUACGUAUGUAGAU